AGUGAACGCUGGCGGUAGGCCUAACACAUGCAAGUCGAACGGCAGCACAGUAAGAGCUUGCUCUUACGGGUGGCGAGUGGCGGACGGGUGAGGAAUACAUCGGAAUCUACUUUUUCGUGGGGGAUAACGUAGGGAAACUUACGCUAAUACCGCAUACGACCUACGGGUGAAAGCAGGGGAUCUUCGGACCUUGCGCGAUUGAAUUAGCCGAUGUCGGAUUAGCUAGUUGGCGGGGUAAAGGCCCACCAAGGCGACGAUCCGUAGCUGGUCUGAGAGGAUGAUCAGCGACACUGGAACUGAGACACGGUCCAGACUCCUACGGGAGGCAGCAGUGGGGAAUAUUGGACAAUGGGCGCAAGCCUGAUCCAGCCAUACCGCGUGGGUGAAGAAGGCCUUCGGGUUGUAAAGCCCUUUUGUUGGGAAAGAAAAGCAGCAGGUUAAUACCCCGCUGUUCUGACGGUACCCAAAGAAUAAGCACCGGCUAACUUCGUG
rnacentral:rRNA from 1 species